AACGAACGCUGGCGGCAUGCCUAACACAUGCAAGUCGAACGAACCCUUCGGGGUUAGUGGCGCACGGGUGCGUAACGCGUGGGAAUCUGCCCUUUGCUUCGGAAUAACAGUUAGAAAUGACUGCUAAUACCGGAUGAUGUCUUCGGACCAAAGAUUUAUCGGCAAAGGAUGAGCCCGCGUAGGAUUAGGUAGUUGGUGGGGUAAAGGCCUACCAAGCCGACGAUCCUUAGCUGGUCUGAGAGGAUGAUCAGCCACACUGGGACUGAGACACGGCCCAGACUCCUACGGGAGGCAGCAGUGGGGAAUAUUGGACAAUGGGCGAAAGCCUGAUCCAGCAAUGCCGCGUGAGUGAUGAAGGCCUUAGGGUUGUAAAGCUCUUUUACCAGGGAUGAUAAUGACAGUACCUGGAGAAUAAGCUCCGGCUAACUCCGUG
rnacentral:rRNA from 1 species